CAAGUCGAACGCGAAAGUUCCCUUCGGGGAGCAAGUAGAGUGGCGCACGGGUGAGUAACACGUAGGUAAUCUACCUUUGGAUUGGGAAUAACACCGAGAAAUCGGUGCUAAUACCGAAUAAUGCAGCGGCACCUAAUGGUGACAGUUGUUAAAGCGGGGGAUCGCAAGACCUCGCGUCUAAAGAGGAGCCUGCGGCGGAUUAGCUAGUUGGUAAGGUAACGGCUUACCAAGGCGAUGAUCCGUAGCCGGCCUGAGAGGGCGGUCGGCCACACUGACACUGACAUACGGGUCAGACUCCUACGGGAGGCAGCAGUCGGGAAUUUUGGGCAAUGGGCGAAAGCCUGACCCAGCAACGCCGCGUGAAGGAUGAAAUCCCUCGGGAUGUAAACUUCGCAAGAACGGGAAGAAUAAGUCGGUGCUAACACCAUCGGCGAUGACGGUACUGUUUGUAAGCUCCGGCUAACUCCGUGCCAGCAGCCGCGGUAAUACGGGGGGAGCAAGCGUUGUUCGGAUUUACUGGGCGUAAAGGGCGCGUAGGCGGCCACCGCAAGUCGACUGUGAAAUCUCCGGGCUUAACUCGGAAAGGUCAGCCGAUACUGCGGGGCUAGAGUGCGGAAGGGGCAACUGGAAUUCUCGGUGUAGCGGUGAAAUGCGUAGAUAUCGAGAGGAACACCUGCGGCGAAGGCGGGUUGCUGGGCUGACACUGACGCUGAUUGUGCGAAAGCUAGGGGAGCGAACGGGAUUAGAUACCCCGGUAGUCCUAGCCUUAAACGAUGAAUGCUUGGUGUCUGGGGUUUUAUAGUCCCCGGGUGCCGUCGCUAACGCUUUAAGCAUUCC
rnacentral:rRNA from 1 species